rnacentral:pre_miRNA from 1 species
CCUGAGUUUUCACUGGUGUCAGAGAGUAAAUUAGAUUUAUGACCACGGUGUAGAAUUCAGGUA